rnacentral:rRNA from 1 species
CUCUCGACAACGGAUAUCUCGGCUCUCGCAUCGAUGAAGAACGUAGCGAAAUGCGAUACUUGGUGUGAAUUGCAGAAUCCCGUGAACCAUCGAGUCUUUGAACGCAAGUUGCGCCCGAAGCCACUCGGCUGAGGGCACGCCUGCCUGGGUGUCACGCAUCGU